UAGUGUCUGAACUACGAAGAAAGCUGAAGCACUAUCCAAGCCACUGGUGGGUUCGUCAAGAAACAAUAAGCUUGGUCUUUUCAGUAUUUCCAGAGCAAUGCUGAGCCUUUUUCUCUCUCCUCCACUUAUACCUCAUGGAAGCCUCAAGUCGGCAGAGUACCUUAUUGUUUCUCUGACUGUGAGAGUUCCCAACAACACGUCAUGUUGGGUUACAUAAGCCUGAUAUUGCAGGAGACUCUGAAUUAGAAGGUAAUGCCCCUAGAGUUGUACUUUUGUUUGUUGUUAUUUUAUAGUCCUAAUUCAAGUUCUGCUUGUGCUAAGUGUGAAAUUUGUGGUCUCAAGGUGCGAUGAGGCGUGAAAGCAAUUUGCAGCGACUGAAAUGAGUGAGAACAUGUGCAAAUGGUUCAAGCUACAUCAACCAUCACAAAAUCCAAUAGGCAAGUCUCACUUGUACUGCAACAAAAUGGGAACAUGGUAAAGAUGAAUGUUUCUUUUUCAGAU